ensembl:lncRNA
UGCCACCAGCCUCCUCCCUCCCCACACACAGAUGCUCUCUCGCUCUCUCUCUCACUCUCUCUCUCUCACACACACACACACACACACACACACACACACACACACACACACACACACACACACACACACACACACACACACACACACACACACAGAAACACAGCACCAUUCUUCCCUGAAUUAAUUUGUUUUCAUUUGCAGUAUGUCAGCAGAAGAUAUGUACUUGUUCUUUGCUGCUGUGCAGAGGGGCCUCUCAACUCACUGCAUCUGCAACACAGUAUGCCACAGGAUGACAGUCCCACAGCGUUUGUCCUACGUUGUGGAAACUUUGCCAACCAUCACUGCAACGAUGUCAAGCCAAUUCUCUGCCAAAAAGCUGUGACGGUAACCGUGGCAAGGCUCAAUUAUCACCGGGGCCAUGGUGAGGUCCAGAAAUAGCAUUUUUUUUCCCCUUUUUUCAACACAUUUUACUUUCUGGCUCCAUUUUGGGAGAGUCCACCCAGUGCUAAGGAACCAAGCAAAGAGAGAAAAGAAAUUCCUUCAGUCGAGAAAAAAAAAAAACCUUUUCCUAAUAAAAGAAUAACCAUCGGAAAUUGCACUUCCUCGUCAUCAAUUUCUCAGAGACGACCAAAAACCCCUGGACACACUUAAUCAGUAAAAGGGCACGCCUCUGAAUAUCCAUUCUUUUGUAAUGGCAUUAGCUGAGAAGUAAGAUUUACAGAUCACUUAAUGUGCCAGAGUCUUCUGCAUAAAAGUAUAUACAAAGGUUAAUAUUGCAAUAAUAUCUUGCUGGAGGGCAUUGUAAUCAUUAUCUCUCCAGAGGUAUCAAUUAGAAGCACUUUACAGCAGGUAAUGACUGAGAUUCCGGUGCAAAAUGACAUUAUUAUUAUUAUCAUCAUCUAUAAUUUCAGACUGCAUAUACAAGGUAAAAAAAGAGAAACAUAAGUUCAGCUAGAGGUAGACUUAAAGGGGGAAAGUCUGUCGCAUUAGGCAUUUGUCUCGUAAUAAAAGUGGUCAAACUAGGACACUAACGAGUAUGAGAUUUCCCCUUGUGCUUUCAUGGAACUACUUUCACUGCAGUUGCGUUAAUUUAUGCAAGGUGCAUGACAUCGUUUCAUUUAAGAGGACAAACAAAUAAGCAGUGAGAUAAGGCAGUGUAAAUGGAGCUGAAUGGAUCACCCGGUGUCACAGAUCCUUGCAACAGAACAGCAAAUAUUUAUUUACCACAGAACUACUACUAAUAAAAAAAAUACAUUUCAUUCUUUUUUUGACCAAACUCAGACAGUUCAAACACUCCAAAUGCCCUGUGUGACCUUUAAGCCGGGGUUUAGGCAUUCAUAACAAGGAUUUGUUGUGUCAUUGACCCUCUCAUCAACAUUAUAAAUAAUUCACAGAUGAAUUCUUGGUUGUCCAGUGCACAUGCGUCUCCGGCGGAGGGCCCAGUGACUUUUGAUUUAGCUGUUUCAUAUUUAAUAAGCAAAUGGAGCGCUAGGAGGCUGCUUUUUUUAGGGAGAUUUAAUUGGGUGCUGGUGACAUCCAUCACACCAUUGUCAUGGCUGUGACCUUUCGUUGGGGACUAUUCAUAAUAAAGGAGUUAUGAGCUGGUUCCUCAUAUUUCCACAAACCGACCCCACCAUUUUGUUGUGCAUCUUGUUGCACCAAAGCACAAAAGCUGUCACAAAAGCAGCUUUGGGCUUUUGGAGGACACCCUCAGACAUGUUAUCAAGUGCUCCCAGACUGUCGGUGCCCCUCGCUAAUUUUGCAGGACGCCACAAAACCCGUGGAUCGCAGCAAUUAUCACGCGCAUCGUUUUAGUGCAUCGUUUGGAGUCCAUGAAAUGCCAGACGAGGCCAUGCAGUCUGGGAUAAGAAAUGACACAUGUAACACAUGAGUUCACCAGUAUUAGUAAACGUCUGCUUACUUUUCACUUGGCUGCGACAGAGACGGUGCAGUUAUGGUUAUUUCAGAAAAUGGGUUCACCGUUCCUGUGCACCAACCCCCAAAUUGGCUAAAGUCCACGGUGUGUGCUUGUGUACUUGUGGGAGGUGGGAGUUUUUGCUGAAUAUUUGCAUUCAUUUUCACAUCAGGCAAUUUCCCUUCCAUCCCAAGAAAAGCUGAAAAAGCCCAAAGGUACGGAGAACACACACCAGGAGAGUAGGAGACGAAGAGGAGGAGGCGAAGAGGAGGAGGCGAGGAGGAGGAGGCGAAGAGGAGGGCUCCAACUCCACAAUUUCCACCACCUGAUCCCAGAGGAUCCAAAGUGUUUAAAUACACUGCUGUGAUUCAAAGGCUCUCCCCCCUCCUUUAAAAAAAAGGGGACAACUGUGUGGAGUUGUAUGACAAGGCAAGAAAAAAAAGGGAGCGCUAGGUUAAUUUCAUCAACCCUGAAGCCCGGAGGGAAUGUACUAAAGCUUGAAGGAGGUCCCUAGUGGACUGAAGGACUGGACCUACAGAGGUAAUGAAAGUACUGAGGAGAGAGCGCGAGAGAGAGAGAGAGAGAGAGAGAGAGAGAGAGAGAGAUCAAACACAGGUGAGUUUACUCCCAGAGGAGCACCAGAUGGCCUGCGCUCAGCCCCUGGUCUCUGGUGCCUGUAGAACUGCCUCAACAAUGGCCACUCCGGGUCCCCCUCCUCUUACACAGGCGCACUUCCAGCACACAAAUAUAAACAGCGUCCUACAUUAUUAAAGGGAGUCACGGCAGACAUAAUCUCCUCUGACUGGGACAAACUUACCUCCAUUGAUAUCUAUGUAUUUAUUACAGCAAUGGAGCAAUAUAAAGGCGAGGUGGAGUGAGAUAUCAGCUUACCCGAGGCUGAGGGAGAAAUUUAAGAUAAAGGAUAUUAAAUAUCCAGUUCACAUUGUGAGGCCUAAGCCUUUAAUAGCACUUGGGGUUACCAUGCAGGUAAUGCCUUCUUCUUUGUCUAAACACACUUUUAUGGACUUUAACUGUAAUAAUAUAAAGUGUGCAGGUCACUGAUAAAUGUGUCGUAACAGCUCAGCACCCG